AGCGAACGCUGGCGGCAGGCCUAAUACAUGCAAGUCGAACGGUCUCUUCGGAGGCAGUGGCGGACGGGUGAGUAACGCGUGGGAACGUGCCCUUUGGUACGGAACAACUGAGGGAAACUUCAGCUAAUACCGUAUGUGCCCUUCGGGGAAAGAUUUAUCGCCAUUGGAGCGGCCCGCGUUGGAUUAGCUAGUUGGUGGGGUAAUGGCCCACCAAGGCGACGAUCCAUAGCUGGUCUGAGAGGAUGAUCAGCCACACUGGGACUGAGACACGGCCCAGACUCCUACGGGAGGCAGCAGUAGGGAAUCUUGCGCAAUGGGCGAAAGCCUGACGCAGCCAUGCCGCGUGAAUGAUGAAGGUCUUAGGAUUGUAAAAUUCUUUCACCGGGGACGAUAAUGACGGUACCCGGAGAAGAAGCCCCGGCUAACUUCGUGCCAGCAGCCGCGGUAAU
rnacentral:rRNA from 1 species